GGCUUUAGGGAGGGUUUCCUCUGUGGGAGGGAGGGAGACCCAAGGGGCCUGGGGCUUCCUCAGUUUCCACUCCAAGGAUGUUUCACAGAGCUAGGAAAUAGUGUGGAGAGUGACCGGGGCAAGGCCAUAGCUCCUCAGCCCCUGGUACUGCUUUGGUCAUGGUCAUUGACAUCUGGCUCCCAUGGCCUUAUCCGACCCAUCCUCAUGAAGAGGAACUACCUUUCUCCAAUGUCCUCGAAGAGACAAGACCCAAGACACAGAAGACAAAAAAUCCCUUGAGGCAGCCAAACACCUGGACCAGAUGAUGAGUGCACAGGUGAGGGUGCUGGGAUGGCUUCUUCAGCAGCGGGGAUGGAAGAUGAUUUGGAGCCCUUGGGAAUUUCUGCAGGUGUGUCUGCACGGAGGACUUUUCAAGCCCCAGGGCUGGUUGCUGCACACAAUCCCAGCUCCCAUGGAAGGG